UUCAGUAGUGUUUAUAAGAGCAUUUCAGUAGUGUUUAUAAGAGUGUUUCAGUAGUGUUUAUAUAAGAGUGUUUCAGUAGUAUAUGUAAGAGCAUUUCAGUAAUGUUUAUAAGAGAGUUUCAGUAGGGUGUGUGAGAGAAAAAGAUUUCAGUUGUUUAUGUGAGAGCAUUUCAGUAGUGUAUGUAAGAGCAUUUCAGUAGUGUUUAUAAGAGUGUUUCAGUAGUGUGUAUAAAAGAAAAAGAUUUCAGUUGUUUAUGUGAGAGCAUUUCAGUAGUGUAUGUAAGAGGUAAUUCUGAAUAAUGUCCCUAACGGCCCCUCAUACUCGGAGCUGUGGAGAGAGAUCCUGUUUACUGUGGACUGUGUGUGACGCCCUGUUGUUUUUGUUUCCAUAAAAAAAAAAGAUAGACAGUGUCACAGAUGGCUCUUUAUCUGAAUCCAGCAACGAUCCAGAAAGUGACUACAUGCCGUCAAUGUCUGAUAGUUCAUCCUCAACAGUGGCACCUGGUCAGGAGUCACAAGUCAGUAGAAGUCAGGCUCAAGACUCAGAUGUGUGAACGUUGGAGAGGUCCUCGAGAGGGGAUCUUGGGAUCACUUCCUGAGGAUCCUUGAUGCCGAGGAAUGUUCAUCCACUAUGGUCUGGAUAGCCUGUAGCUGAUCCUGAGCCAGAGCGGGAUGGAUGGAUAUAUAUAUAUAUACAAUAUCUGGGUAUCUUUUCUAAUACUGUUUAUACUGUAAACCUUGAAUUGUUAAAGUUUAAGUGCACCUCUCUCCUCAAGUGUGCAUGUGAGUGGGUAUGAGUGGAUGUGCGAUUGUAUGAAGGUUUUGCGUGACCAAAGUAUGACUGUUAAAUGUGAUUUUAACUGUAAAAUUCA